CUCACCAAGGCUAUGACGGAUAUUUGGUUUGAGAGGAUGAUCAGACACACUGGAACUGAGACACGGUCCAGACUCCUACGGGAGGCAGCAGUGAGGAAUAUUGCACAAUGGAGGAAACUCUGAUGCAGCAACGCCGCGUGGAGGAUGACGCAUUUCGGUGUGUAAACUCCUUUUAUUAGGGAAGAUAAUGACGGUACCUAAUGAAUAAGCACCGGCUAACUCCGUGCCAGCAGCCGCGGUAAUACGGAGGGUGCAAGCGUUACUCGGAAUCACUGGGCGUAAAGGGUGCGUAGGCUGGCUUUUAAGUCAGAUGUGAAAUCCAAUGGCUCAACCAUUGAACUGCAUUUGAAACUGAAAGCCUAGAGUUCAGAAGGGGCAGAUGGAAUUAGUGGUGUAGGGGUAAAAUCCGUAGAUAUCACUAGGAAUAUCAAAAGCGAAGGCGAUCUGCUGGGAUGAUACUGACGCUG
rnacentral:rRNA from 1 species